UAUUCAAAGACAAAAUUGUCUCCAUAAUAUCUUCAAUAUUAUACUCUAUAUAAGCUAUUUGAAU
rnacentral:tRNA from 1 species